ensembl:lncRNA
GAGACAAUUCUUUUAUAUCAUUGACUCAAAGUUUGCUGAGGAACAAGUCCAGGCAAGUCCUGGGCAAAGGCAGAGAAAUCUUUUGUCUUGAGGACACUGAUGGACAGGUCCUGGCUAAGGAUUGUGAAAUCCUUUAAGGAGCACAGAUGGACAAGGCCAGGGGCAUCGAGAGAGAGAUAAGCUGCCGCUAAUGGCCGGGAAACGGUCUUUUUGUGUGGACUUAUCUCAAGGAAAAUGGCCAUCUCAGGAGGUAUGCACAGGACUCUUGCUCAAGCACCCAGGAAUGUCAUGUAGGCAGCAGAAAAUGGAGGAUAAAAGAGGGUCCAACAACCACGGCGAUGGUAGAGGCUUAUCUUCUCACCACGACAGACUUGAGGGGUUCUCUGCCAUCUGAUCCUUCACCACAACGUGGAGACUGAUCUCUCACCGCAACACAGAGGCUGAUCUCUCAUGAUCUCUCACCACGACACGAGCUUUCUGCCUUCAGAUCCUUCUCUACGGACCGUUUGCUGACAGACUUCCCUGGCCCUGCUACCUGAGACCUGCUGCUUCCUCCCUG